rnacentral:tRNA from 1 species
UUCCCUGUGGCUCAGUUGGUAGAGCAUGGUGUUUGCAAUUCCAGCAUGGUGUGCAACGCCAGGGUUGUGGGUUCAAUUCCCACUGUGGACC